rnacentral:rRNA from 1 species
AGCAUAUCAAUAAGCGGAGGAAAAGAAACCAACAGGGAUUGCCUCAGUAACGGCGAGUGAAGCGGCAACAGCUCAAAUUUGAAAUCUGCCUCUAGGCCGAGUUGUAAUUUGUAGAGGAUGCUUCGAGUCUGGUCCGGUCUAAGUUCCUUGGAACAGGACGUCAUAGAGGGUGAGAAUCCCGUAUGCGACUGGGUGCCUAUACUCAUGUGAAGCUCCUUCGACGAGUCGAGUUGUUUGGGAAUGCAGCUCAAAAUGGGUGGUAAAUUUCAUCUAAAGCUAAAUAUUGGCCAGAGACCGAUAGCGCACAAGUAGAGUGAUCGAAAGAUGAAAAGCACUUUGGAAAGAGAGUUAAACAGUACGUGAAAUUGUUGAAAGGGAAGCGCUUGUAACCAGACUUGCAUGCAGUCGAUCAUCCGAUGUUCUCACCGGUGCACUNGAUUGUAUUCAGGCCAGCAUCGGUUUCAGUGGUUGGAUAAAGGCCUUGGGAAUGUAGCUUCCUUCGGGGAGUGUUAUAGCCCUCGGUGCAAUGCAGCCUACCGAGACCGAGGACCGCGCUUCGGCUAGGAUGC